CUCAUUGGGUGCGUGAGAAGGGAAGGGUGGAUCCUAAAAGAUCCCUUUUACAGUUGGAUUCUCCCUCUUGGAUCUGGCUCUGCCUUAGUCCGACCUAGAGGGAUCAGCUUCGCCCACGCCCACUCUCACCCGGAACCUUUCAUCUCUUAUUGAAGCCUUUUAGGCCCAUUGGGAUGUUCAUUAGAACUCUGAAAACUACAGUUCUCCCCUUUAUGAGGACUGCACCACAGCUCGCCCUCUCCUGGGUUCCGCCUGGUUGCAGAGUGAGCCCAUGGGACAGCCCUCUGAAAUUAUACUGCUUACAACCAUGCUGAGUCUGCAAGGACUUCGUCCAAGCCUUUCCGUCCAGGACCUCAAACAGAUCCAAUCACAAGAAGAGAGAUUUCAGGAAAGAGAAAAUUAUUCCUAUCAUCGGGGUUUUUGAAGAACAUGAAAUGACUGGGAAAAUAAUCAUGUUAAGUGGAAAAAAAAAAGAAAUCUAUCUGUUGUAAUUUUCAAAUAAUUUUUAAAUAAAUUUGAAAAAUUAAGAGAACUAUA
rnacentral:lncRNA from 10 species